CUUGUCUGUGUUUAUACCCACAGAUGAACUUUAUGCACAAAAGCUCAAGUACAAAGCCAUCAGUGAGGAACUGGACCAUGCCCUUAAUGACAUGACCUCUAUCUAAAUGUUCAGAAUCUCCACCAUCCUUCCAGGUUGUGACCUUUUCUUCUGCUGACCAUUACUCAGCUCUGCGUCUGUGAUCGCCUACCUGUAUUUACAGUAUUACAGUAAAUCCUCGAAGUUUGCUCCUGUGCAGUUAGCCUCUUAUGAUUCAGUUGUCCAUGGAUAAUUGUUUGCUCUCUUAAAUGUUGUUUUGUUUUGUUCUUCGUUGUGCUUCUGUAUCAAUUCUGUGCUGUAUCCCUGUUUAAGGAAACAUCUCUGGGUUACGUCAUCUGUAUUCAUGGUUUAUUUUCUUAGUUUGAAGUUAUUAAUAUUUGUCUUGCAAUUUCGACGGGUGUUCUGCAGUGUUCAGUCCCUAAUGAAUGCUUUCAGGAUUUUCUUGUCUCAGGAAUUCAUGGAAAAUUUGGUGAUGAAAACCACAUCUGGAUAGAAAUAUCACCAACCUAUAUAUAUAAAUAUACUUAAAGAUUUUCCUGAAUUGUGAAUUACAAAGUAUUAUGAUUGUAAAGCCCUGGUGAAAGUAUGUCUCAUGUUCAUUUGUCUGUCAGCAAAGUAAUUUGAACAGUUUUGGAAUUUGGUGGAGACGUGGAGCAUAGGCAAAAAAAUAAAACCAUUUACAUUUUGUUGCAAA